rnacentral:lncRNA from 1 species
AACAUGAAUAAAAGUAAUUCAUUCUCUCAAUCUUCAAUUUUUACUAAUUCACAUUCUGUCUGCACGGAAAGCAUUGAUUCAGCUACUGACAUUCAUAUUUUCAUAGAAGGUAAAUGAACUCACAAGUUGCUAACAAAAGGCAAUAUUUCACCACAUAUUCAAAAAGGUAUGCCAUGAAUAUAGAAUUUUUUUAACAAAUUGAUAAAUCAAACUGGCAAGGGAUUUCUAUGGGAUAAUCAAGUUUGAUCAAUCAACAGGAUUAAGAGCUAGGACUUUCACCUGCUUAUAAGCCCUGAAGG